rnacentral:pre_miRNA from 13 species
ACCUGAAACACAUACUUCUUUAUAUGCCCAUAUGAACCUCACAAGCUAUGGAAUGUAAAGAAGUAUGUAUUUCUGGU